CGUGAGUGAUGAAGGCUUUCGGGUCGUAAAGCUCUGUCAAGUGGGAAGAAACUAUAGAAUGCCAAUACCAUUCUGUACUGACGGUACCACUGAAGGAAGCACCGGCUAACUCCGUGCCAGCAGCCGCGGUAAUACGGGGGGUGCAAGCGUUAUUCGGAAUCAUUGGGCGUAAAGAGCGCGUAGGCGGUCUCUUAAGUCAGGUGUGAAAGCCCGGGGCUCAACCUCGGAAGUGCACUUGAAACUAAGAGACUUGAGUAUGGGAGAGGGAAGUGGAAUUCCUGGUGUAGCGGUGAAAUGCGUAGAUAUCAGGAGGAACACCGGUGGCGAAGGCGACUUCCUGGACCAAUACUGACGCUGAGGCGCGAAGGCGUGGGUAGCAAACAGGAUUAGAUACCCUGGUAGUCCACGCAGUAAACGGUGAACACUAGGUGUAGCGGGUAUUGACCCCUGCUGUGCCGCAGUUAACGCAUUAA
rnacentral:rRNA from 1 species